CCCCAUUUCUCCGACUCUUGCUGCCAAGGUCUUGCAACCCCUCUGACCAAUCCCCACAUCUUGCCGUCGUCACCACCACUUCCACAUUUUUCCAUUGUCACCAUCGCAACCCCCUUGCCGCCGUUACCACCGCAACCACCUCUGCUGCCGCCACCGCCACCACUCACCCCAUUCCCGUCGCGUCACCACCUCCGUCGCUAUUUCAGGCGAGUCAUAGAACAUUCUUUGUUUGAUUCAUCCAUCUUAGACAUUGUGAGUCCUAGAUUUUAAUUAUAUGAUGAAAUCAAGAAGAUCGGUAUUUAGUGUUUCAAAUGAAUUUUGCUAUAAUAAUCCAAAUUAUAGAGAUUGUGAAAUAUACGGUGUUUAUCUACUAGUUGGAAUUGAGUAUAGAAUUUGAUUUUGUUUAUAUACCAAUCAAAUACCACUAGUUGGAAGAAUACAUCGGAAUCCUAUAGUAAAGAUUUGUAGAUGGGCUUAUUUGUGGUGUCAAAGCUGGACUAGGUUUUAUUUUUACAAUGGCUAACGCAAACAUACUGUAAAUCAAUCUUUGGAUGACUUCAAAAGUCAAUUGUAUUUGUUUCCCAAAAUAUUAUUGGUGCACAUGUAUGCCAUGUUAUGCUGAGUACAUGUAAAAUCUUACCACCAAAUGCCAAUAACGAACGUCUUUAGGUACGUAUACUAUAAAUUUACUCAGUUACUUCGUGUUUAAUAACGAGUUUGUUUACAUUGAUCAUGACUACGAGAUUUUUUAAUUAAGUUUACUAUACAUGCUCAUUUGUUCAAUUUCAUUAAAUACUCCCCUCCUGCAGAGUUUGUAUCUAAGAUAGAUGUCUUACAAAUGCAAAACAUAGAGUUGACUUUUUUUAUAUCCAAAUCCAAGCUAGACUCUUCUGUCAUCGUCUACUUUUUUUUAUGCUCAGAUGUGAGAUUGGCUGCUGAGUCUAAAAGUAGAAGGUUGCUAGCUACGUAAAAUGGCUAGAAGAUGAAUUAGAACUUAAUGCUUUUCAUGAACCUAGAAGUUGUAGAGGUGGAAAUGAGAAAACUGUUGGAAGUCAAAGAACAACCCUUUUGGCAUUCUUCCAAUACUAAGGUAACUGCUACUAUCAUUGUUAAAAAAGAGUUAACACGAGGAUCAUGGUGUUUAUUUUUUUACAGGUAACUGCUACUAUCAUUGUUAAAAAAGAGUUAACACGAGGAUCAUUUUACUCACAUGAUGAUUGUGGAAGAGGUUCACGAACGAAGUUUUGAAUAUUUAUUUCAAACAUUUAUACCAAUGAUCCCGUGGUGAAUCUUUGACACUUUGGAGCUUUAGACAUAUACUAAGAGAAAUGAGAGCAGAAGUUGAAGAACACAUUAGGACUAUGGUGCGUUAUCGUGAUGAUAACGAAUUCAUCAUUGUACCUUAUUGUGCCGAUACGACGGGUAUAUAUUUUAGAUCAACUAUUCAAAGAGGGCAACAAGAAUCCUAGCCACUGUCGUCUUACAAGUGUGAUUGAAAGCGCCUUGCUGCCAAUAAAACCCACAUUUGAUAUGGUUAAUUGCAAUCAACAAGCUGAGACAUGGGAAUGCGGCUAUAUACUUCUUCAAUCUAUGUUCGACUUUGUCAAUGUGUAUCAAAAGCAAUUUCCGAAAAUGUGGAACGACACGAAAGAGGUUACAGACGAAGAUAUAGAAAAGACGUUGAAGGAAUUGAUGCCAAUUUUAUUUGACGGGUUGGGUAUUCCUUAGUUUAAAUAUAGUUUGUUUAUGGUUUUAAAUAGAUUAAGUAGUGAAUUGUUAUUUUACCAAUUAAUCUUGUAGACUUUCGGGUUAAAUGUGUAUUGGUUCACUUUUUACUUGUCCGGAUUUGAUUACGUUGAAUAUAUAAAAGGAUUGAUUGGAUUUGACGUC